UGGCCGCUAUUAGGGUUCUGAAUUUAUUAUGAGAUCGCCCGCCGAAGGGAACCCCCGUCCCCCACGGGAUCCAACCGGUAAACGGGUGAGACUGUUCUUCUGCCUUCAGAUGUCCUUGGGCACCGGCGCCCAACAACGGUGUUGGUUCCCCCCCGGGCCACCGUACUUGACCACCGUUCUGGAGGCCGGAAGUCCUCAAUCCCGGGUGUGGGCAGGGCCACACUCCCUCUGACAUGUAGGGGGAAUCCUUCCUCGCCCCCUUCUAGCUUCUGGAACCUCCCAAGCAGUUUGGGACGUGCUUUGGCCUCGGCGGCGGGACGUGGAUCCCGGCCUCAGUAACAACAUGGUGCCUCCCUCCGUGUUUCUGCCCUCAGCUGGUGGUCUUCUAUAAGGAAAAUGGUCACCAGGGGGCAGGGCUCCCCCUGCUUUCGUAUGACCUUACUUAACUGGCUACCUUCCCCACUGACCCUAUGGCCAGAUGGGGUCACUGUGAUGGUUAACUUUGUGUCACCUUGACUGGGCUAAGGGAGGCCUAGGUAACAGGAGACAUGACUUCCGGUGAUGAGACAUGACUUCCGGAGCAUCCGCGUCAGCGUCUCUGGAAGAGAGGAGCGUUUGAAUCAGUUCACUGAGAAGAGGAAUUGAUUGCCGACGCAGGUGAGCACCAUCCAACCUGUUGGGGCCUGCAUGUAACAAAGAGGUGAAUUUGUUCUCUUUGCUUGACCUGGGACAUCCUCCUUCUUCUCCUGACCUCACACCUCCAGCACCUGCUUCUCAGGCCUCUGGUCUCACUGCGUCACGUGACCCAGCCUCCCCAAUUCUCCAGCUUGCAGAUGGCAGAUGACAGGACUUCUCGGCCUCCAUGGUCACAAAAGCUAAUUUAUUACUCAGUGUAGGGCCUGGCACGGUCAUUAACUCCUACAUCCAGGGCAUGCCUUCAACGCCCGCCCCGUGGGGGAAGCUGGGAUUGUAACAGGGGUGACACCAGACCCCACCCCCACCCCCGGAGGUUUGUGGGGCAAACAAACACGAGCCGCGUCUUCGCAAGAAGAGACACUUGAGAUGACAUACGGCCACCAGGCUGACACGGCCCCGGGGCUCACCUCUCGUCUUAAGAUUCGUGACUUAAUCACACCGGCAGAGUCCCUUCGGUCACGGAAGCCCAAGCCCUCCGCCCGGCACUGAAGCCAGGAGCACGACUGAAGGACACAGCUCGGACACCAGCCGCCCAGCACCAAGGCCGAGCUGGGAAGGGUGAGGAGCCACAGAGAGAAUGCACGCGGCUUUCCUGACCCCGCCAACCCAGCCUGCAGCAGGCGUUGAAGACGGAGGUGUCCUGUGAACACGCUGGCAACAGCAAGCCUCUGUGCUCCCCACGGGCCCACACGCAUGUGCGAAAACACCCAAGGUGAGGGAGGGUUCACCCCGAGGCAGAGAUUACCUGAGCCCAGGGAUGGAGGAGGGGACAGGU